GCUGCUGGAAUUCAUGCAAAUUACCUGUGUGUAACACCAGCUUUCAGCCACAGGUCCACUGGACAUCUCCCCAGGAGGAGGUGGGGUGGGAACCCUUGACAUUGCCACUUAUUGCAGAUUAUAGUAUCUGAACAGCAAUCCAAACUUCAGUAAUUCUUCGGAGCGCGGCGCUGGCUGGGAGGCGCGGCGGCUCUCAUAGCGCCGGGGCGGGGGAAGGCGUGGCGGUCACCGACGGCCGGCGGCGGGCGGAAGCGGCGAGGUCGGGCGGGAGCGGAGCCUCAUCGCUGCCCGCACCGAACCGCGCCGAGCUCACCGCCGGUAGCGCCGCGGCCGCUCGCGGCUCCCGUACAGCCCGGCCGCUGAC
rnacentral:lncRNA from 1 species